UCAAGGCUUCAAACCUUGGGGGGCUUGGCGGCCCAGUUGUUCAAUUCAACCUUG
rnacentral:tRNA from 15 species